GGCGGAGGAGCCGACCUCAUCAGCGCCCUCCCAACGGACCUGCUCCUCCAGGUCCUCGUCCGCCUCGGCUGCACCCGCGCCGCCGCACGCACCAGCAUCCUCUCCCGCCGGUGGCGCGGCCUCUGGACCCGCCUCCCGGGGCUCACCUUCCGCGACGUCGCGCCCGGCCCGCUACUAGCGGCUCUCUCCUCGCUCGGACCUAGUGGCGUGCCCCUCUCCCUCCUCGACAUCCACAUCCCUGAAGCACAGGUCAAGGUGCAUGUCGACCGCGGCCCUACAUGGGCCGGUGGCCGAGCGAGAAGACAGAGUUACCGAUUACAGCCCUAUCUACAUCCCAGCAACCAGGUCUCCAUGCUGCUCCGCGCCGCCGGGAGGCUCUCGCCGGCGGCGUUCCGCUUCAGCCACCCGCACGAACUAGAGAACUCGUACGUCGACGUGGACCUGUCCAGCUGCUUCCGCCGUGCCACCUCCAUCGAGCUGGACGCACGGUUCAUCUGCUUCCCCAACCCACAGUCCGAGUUCCCCACGCUCGAGAGUCUAUCGAUCUCCGGUUGCCUUGUCCAUCUCGCCGUUGUGGUUCCUCUCUGCCCGCGCCUACGCGUGCUCAGGGUGCAUCGCGCUUACCUCCAGGGCGAAGUUAUCACCGUUCGCUCGGCGUCGCUGCAGGAGUUCUCCGUGGAGAACGAUAUCGCCGGCGCAUCAACGAGACGUGUGGACGUAGAGGCCCCCACGCUGAAGCAAUUGACUGUGUUCUUCCGCAACAGUGGCGACCUCAGUGUCUCUGUUCUGGCACCGAAUGUGGAGAAUGUCUCGUGGCGGUGCUUCUAUUCCAGCGUCAGGGUUGGGCUUGGUCUUUGGGGCCUCUCCGGAGUGAGAUUACAGACCAAGGAGGGCAAUGGACAGGGGGUUCUCCCUCCCGUCCAUAUCUUUUUGCUGACUAUAAUGUCCUCCCCGAAAAUUGUUUUAGCAGUAUCAACGUGA
rnacentral:rRNA from 1 species